UCCGGCUUGUCACCGGCAGUCUCUUUAGAGUGCUCUUGCGUAGCAACUAAAGACAAGGGUUGCGCUCGUUGCGGGACUUAACCCAACAUCUCACGACACGAGCUGACGACAGCCAUGCAGCACCUGUGUAUCGAUUCUCUUUCGAGCACCAAGCCAUCUCUGGCAAGUUUCGACCAUGUCAAGGGUAGGUAAGGUUUUUCGCGUUGCAUCGAAUUAAUCCACAUCAUCCACCGCUUGUGCGGGUCCCCGUCAAUUCCUUUGAGUUUUAAUCUUGCGACCGUACUCCCCAGGCGGUCAACUUCACGCGUUAGCUUCGUUACUGAGAAAAUGAAUCCCCAACAACUAGUUGACAUCGUUUAGGGCGUGGACUAC
rnacentral:misc_RNA from 1 species